AUUGAACGCUGGCGGCAGGCCUAACACAUGCAAGUCGAACGGUAACAGGAAGAAGCUUGCUUCUUUGCUGACGAGUGGCGGACGGGUGAGUAAUGUCUGGGAAACUGCCUGAUGGAGGGGGAUAACUACUGGAAACGGUAGCUAAUACCGCAUAACGUCGCAAGACCAAAGAGGGGGACCUUCGGGCCUCUUGCCAUCGGAUGUGCCCAGAUGGGAUUAGCUAGUAGGUGGGGUAACGGCUCACCUAGGCGACGAUCCCUAGCUGGUCUGAGAGGAUGACCAGCCACACUGGAACUGAGACACGGUCCAGACUCCUACGGGAGGCAGCAGUGGGGAAUAUUGCACAAUGGGCGCAAGCCUGAUGCAGCCAUGCCGCGUGUAUGAAGAAGGCCUUCGGGUUGUAAAGUACUUUCAGCGGGAAGGAAAGGAGUAAAGUUAAUACCUUUGCUCAUUGACGUUACCCGCAGAAGAAGCACCGGCUAACUCCGU
rnacentral:rRNA from 1 species